UAUCCCUCAAAACGGUUUGGUGGAUUUGGAUAAAGUAGAUUCGAAUUUAGAGGAUAGUAAGGCCUUUGGUUCAAUGGAGUUUGGAUUGGAAAGUGAGGUCUUUGGAUAAGUGGAGGGUUCGGGUUUGGUGGCAUUUGGGUUCCAAAUCCGUCAUGUUGGACUUGGUGAAGUGGAGGGAGGAUUGCUCUAUCAUACUCACGGUUUUGGGAAACAUUUGGUGGUUGGCGCGGUGA
rnacentral:lncRNA from 1 species